CGACCCCAGGUCAGGCGGGGUUACCCGCUGAGUUUAAGCA
rnacentral:rRNA from 3 species